rnacentral:lncRNA from 1 species
AGUGGCAGCAGCGGCCGUGGAGGCUGCGGGGGUCCCGGCCUCUGCGGUCUCUCUGGCCGGCCGCAGCUGUGGCGCGGGUGAAACGCCCGCCCUCCUCCUUCGGCUGCGUCUCCCGGGCGCCGGCGAGCGCGGGCGUUCCUCGCACUCAGCGCCUGGAGCCGCCUGGAGCCCCGCUGCGCGCACUUCCCCGGCUCGCGGAGCCCCUCCGGCGGCGUUUCCCACGCCGCGGACUGCAGGUGAUGCUCUUCCUCUUCUGCAGCCGAAAUUCGUCGCGAUGUGUCGCCUGCCAGAUUUUUGCUGGGCGGAAGCAUGAACAGUCUCUGCAGACUGGCCUGGACGACUUGUACUUUGUGGCCCUCCAACUUCUGGAUGUGAAUUUUUUUUCACGACUUAUUAUUAUGCUCUUCGUGGUCUUUGUGUUGAAAAUCACGGAGCUGUAUUUUUAUUUUCAAAUUCUUUCCCAAUGCUCCUCUUGUCUUGACCGUACUCUGAAGCUUAUAAGGUUCUGAGAGGAGGGGGCGAAGGGAUAGGGGAGGAGCCAGUUCCUAAUGUGUCUUACAAGUCAUCCCUAGUGAUAGGGGCUAAUACGCAAAUCACUGUCUCCUCCUCGAAAUAAUAUCCAUUUAGAUAAAUGCAAACACUGUUGAGGUUUAAUUUAUAAAGAAUGCGUCGUCUUUAUGUAAGUGUCCAGCCUCCAGGAAAAUAUCUGCUGUGGAAUAUAUUUUUAAUGCCACUAAAGUACCAAAAUACCUCCCCGAACAGCGUGAAAUUCCGAGGGAGCCAUUUCUGGUCUCUGCGGAUGUAAUUAAGAAUCUUGAGAUCAUCCUGGAUUAUUUGGGUGGGUCCUAAAUCCAAUGACAAGCAUCCUUAGAAGAGCCAUCCCGGGGAGAGACACAUGGAGGAGAAGGCCACCUGCAGGCAGAGGCAGAGACUGAGGUAUGCAGUCACAAGCCAAGGAGCGUCUGGAGCCAGCAAGAGGUGGAGAUGCAAGCAAGGAUUCUUCUGAGAGCCUUCAGAGGAAGCACAGCCCCGCCAACACCUUGAUUUUGGAUUUCUAGCCUCCAGAACUGUGAGAGAAUAAAUUUUUGUUAUUAUUAAGCCACCCAGCUUGUGGUCAUUUGUUAUGGCAGCCCUGAGAAACUAAUAUAGUGUCUAAGAAUAAAUCAUUUAUUUUCAAGACAGGGUCUCGCCCUAUCACCCAGGCUGGAGUGCAGCGGCCCAAUCACAACUCACUUGCAGCUCCUCCAGCUCCCCAGGGUCGAGUGAUCCUUCCGCCUCAGCCUCUGAGUAGCUGGGACUAUACGUGCAUGCCACCACGCCUGGCUAAUUCUAAUAUUUUUUGUAGAGAUGGCUUUUUA